rnacentral:ncRNA from 1 species
AGGUUGUGUUCCGCGACUAUAAACAAGUAUGAGCACUGGAAUUGCUAGUCCGCCACGCUGCAGGCAACAUUGCCAAAUUGCGGGAACAUCCUAAAGACUCUGACACCAAGCGUGCCUGGAAACAGGUACGUGGCCGAGCUUAUUGCCCUGGGUAUGGUAACAGUUCAGAGUAUGACAUCCUCCGGGGUGGAAAUGGACAAUCCGCAGCCAAGUCCUACCGCUCGUCAGAGCCACGGAUGCUGUUCACAGGCCAAAUGGUAAUGGGUGAGACGUCACGGUCUUGCUUAAGAUAUGGUCGGGCUCUCAAGGAAACUUGAGGGGUGAUUCAUUGCACAAUGCACCCUUAGAAAACCGUUCCGUAGGUGAACCUGCGGAAGGAUCAUUA